AACGAACGCUGGCGGCAGGCUUAACACAUGCAAGUCGAACGCAUCCUUCGGGGUAAGUGGCAGACGGGUGAGUAACGCGUGGGAACGUGCCCUUCAGUUCGGGAUAACCCAGGGAAACUUGGGCUAAUACCAGAUACGUGCGAGAGCAGAAAGAAUUAUACGCUGAAGGAUCGGCCCGCGUCUGAUUAGCUAGUUGGUGGGGUAAUGGCCCACCAAGGCGACGAUCAGUAGCUGGUCUGAGAGGAUGAGCAGCCACAUUGGGACUGAGACACGGACCAAACUCCUACGGGAGGCAGCAGUGGGGAAUAUUGGACAAUGGGCGCAAGCCUGAUCCAGCCAUGCCGCGUGAGUGAUGAAGGCCUUAGGGUUGUAAAGCUCUUUCGUCCGGGACGAUAAUGACGGUACCGGAAGAAGAAGCCCCGGCUAACUUCGUGCCAGCAGCCGCGGUAA
rnacentral:rRNA from 1 species